rnacentral:rRNA from 1 species
AGGAUUAACGCUGGCGGCGUGCCUAACACAUGCAAGUCAAACGGGGUAGCAAUACCUAGUGGCAGACGGGUGAGUAACGCGUGGUCAACUUACCGUAAAGUGGGGGAUAACUAGCCGAAAGGUUAGCUAAUACCGCAUGAAACAUAACCGGGCAUCCGGUAAUGUUAAAAGGAGCAAUCCGCUUUUCGAUGGGACCGCGUCCGAUUAGCUAGUUGGUGGGGUAAUGGCCUACCAAGGCGCCGAUCGGUAGCUGGUUUGAGAGAGCGACCAGCCACACUGGGACUGAGAAACGGCCCAGACUCCUACGGGAGGCAGCAGUGAGGAAUUUUCCGCAAUGGGCGAAAGCCUGACGGAGCGACGCCGCGUGUGGGAAGAAGGCCUUCGGGUCGUAAACCGCUGUCGAAGGGGACUAUAAUGAAGGUACCCUUGGAGGAAGCCCCGGCUAACUACGUGCCAGCAGCCGC